UGCUAGAAACUUGGCCCUCAAGUUUAGUCAAAACUUAGGCCCUAAGUCUUGCCAAAAACCAUUUGAGUCUCAAAUGGUUUUGCCUAUGAUCAGUGGGCAAUGGCCAAUUGUUUUGGUGUUGGUUCCCCUAGUGCACAAUAGUAUAAAUAGAAGAGAUGAACAGGAUCAAUAGAUAACCAUCUAUUUCCUCUCAUUCAUUCCUGAUCAAACUCAUCUAUUACAAGCACUAGGAAGAGUCACACAUACCAUCUACACAUCUAGAUGGGUUCUUCAUCUAAAGAAACAUCUCAUGCUCAUAUUACCGGACUGAUAAACGGUAUUGAGCCACUUAAUGGGAGCAAUUAUGUUUUAUGGAAAGAGAAAUUAGAGAUCAAUUUAGCUCUGCUGGAUCUCGAUUAUGCUCUCAAUAAUGACGCUCCUAAAGAGCCUCAGGAGGGCUUUGAAAAUUAUGAAGCACUCCUGAAGGAAUAUAAUGAUAAAAAGGUUUUAUGGGAGCCAUCAAAUCGUAAGUGCCUCAUGAUAAUUAAAAGUUCCAUUAUUAAAAGUAUUAGAGGCGCUAUUCCGGACUCAAAUACUGCUAAGGAAUAUCUUAGGAAAGUUGAGGAUCAAUUCAAAGGUUCCUCAAAAAUUUAUGCAAGCACUUUGAUAAAGAGGCUUGCAGAAGAAAAGUAUAAUCCGACCGGAAGCUUAAGAGAGCAUAUUAUGAAGAAAUACCACAUUGCUGCUAAACUUAAGUCUUUGAAAAUGGAAAUUUCUGAUGGCUUUUUUGUGCAUUUUAUAAUGGCACCUUUGCCCCCGGCAUUUUCUCCAUAUACCAUCAACUAUAAUGCUAUGAAAAUAAAUGGAGCAUUGAUGAAAUGAUAGCCAUGUGUGUCUAAGAGGAAGAAAGGCUUAAGGCUGAGAGGAUUGAACAUGUUGGUCAAUUUCAUGCCUCUCAGAAACGGCAAUAUAAAAAGUUUGCCAAUGAAUACAUGAAGCAUAAAAAUCCUCAAUUAAAAAUAAGGGGCAAUGUUCUAAGAAAAUCCAGCAGAAUAAGCCCCAGCAAAAUGCCAACACAGAUGCGGGAAGUGAAGAAAAGAAAGAAGGAUGCCAUUUUUGUGGCAAGCCUGGACACUUCUAGAAGGAUUGUAUUGGUUUUCUAAGGUGGCUUAAUAAGAAAGGGAUUCGCUACCAAGAUGACCCUAAGAAAAGGGGAAAGAAAAAUCAGAGUGGCUAAUGGAGUUGAAGUUGAAGCUGAAGCUGUUGGUGUUUUUACACUUUUGUUGCAUACUGGUUUUAAAUUUCAACUAAAUAAUGUAUUAUAUAUACCGUCCAUGAAAAGAAACUUAGUUUCUGUAUCAUGUUUGGAUGAUGAUGGUUUUGGUUAUGAUUUUGGAAAUAAGAAAUGUAUA